rnacentral:lncRNA from 1 species
UUUUUUUUUUUUUUUAACUGUUCCAAUUCUUAAUGUCACAUAGAAAUUUAGAACCAGGAUUAACUUUUGGCGAAAUACGGUAUCGUUUCUUGGCACAAAUACAGAUCACCUGUGAAAUAGGCGUGAAUUUCAAGCAAACAGAAAUGCCACUCUAUUCAACCUCCCCUUUCUGGCUGAGAUUCUUAUUUAGCUAAACUGAUAUAUAGCAGCACACCACAAGAAUCAUGGUUUGAAAAAAAAAAAAGUUGUGUAAUGGAAGGGUGAUCACAAAAUGUGUGUUUUUACAUUUAAUCCAAUACCCAGCAUAUGGUGAGCACUCACUGACCAGUCACUACCUUAUGAUACUUGUGGAAGUGCUGGAAGGGUAAUAACGAUAGCAAUAUUUGUCGGCUGUCUGCCAAGCACUAAAACAUAUGUAUUUAUAUUUUCAAAAUGAGACCUAUCCAGGGAUCGGGAAUUCUCAAAUGAGAUCCAGUAACCUGACCUUCUCUGCCAUCAUUCUUCUUCCCAAGUCCAGGCAAAUCUGGCUGAAAUAUGGAGCCCACUGGGGAGGUGUGUUUAGGGGGCUGGAGGUGGGCCUUGGACGUGGCCAUGGAUAAUAGACGCAUGUGUUGGUGUGGCUGAAGUCAGAAUGCCCUGGCAUAAGGGGUGCAGUGAGUUGGCACGAGCUAGGAGGCAUUGUUUUUGUUUGCUGAGUAGCCGAGUAGCUGAUGUUCACGUAUCCAAAUCGCUCCCCUUUAAAGCCCUUCCGCUGUGUUUAUGCCCCGGCCAUUAGCCAACAGGGACUCGGGGGUAGAGUGUUCUGGGAAUACUUGCUGUCAGGUUUUUCCCAGCCUCUCUCUGGAAUGCCUCUGCAAUCCACUCUGUAUCUCUGGGGGUGGUCCAAUGCGCCCAGAGGGUUUCUGCCCUGUAUUACUCAAAAGGAUUCCCAGCACUCAGCCUCAAAAAUAGCUCAGGGCCUAAUAAGACCUCAUUGAAAUAGUCUCUGUUUUUGCUUAAAAGUGCAAGUCUGGCCUGGCCUCUGCAAGUCAUCCAUAAAGAAUGAUUUUGCUACUUUUUAAGUUAUAUGUCACUGUAGGGUAUUAAUUUAUAUGCUUAUUUUGGAAACUGUGAAAUGGGACAGGCCACCAGGAUUCCUCCUCUGUGUGGGGAAGCCCUGAGCCUCCCACAAAAAAAAAAAAAAAAAUACCACCCAGAAAAGGGAGUUCAGUCUUGAUAGUCAGACACCUGGUAGACUGGGAUUAACACACCUGAGCAAAAGCUGCCUUGAUUUCCUGGACGAGCAGUGGGGACGUAAGAAAGAUGAACUGAUUAUUGGGGAGCACCCAGGAGGAAGGCAGCGAAUGGCAGGUCCUGCGCGGGGACCUCUGCUGAUGGACACUUUUCAAUAUCACACAAGCUAGGGUCACAAAGGACAGCUGACCGGGCCAGGGAAGCUGCCCAAAGUUCCUCGGCCAAUGACGGUAUACGUUGAAAAAGCUGGACUCAACUCCAGGAUCCCAAAGGCCCUGUGGUCACCAGAGGGACAAACCAAGACCGCCAUGACAGAGGACAUGUCAGCAGUCGUGCUGACAACAGCUCUGACUACACAGUCAACACCCAGCCCCCAGCAGGCGGUCUCAACCUUCUAGGGAAAACGGUGAGGAGGAAAGGGUGGGUGAGCGGGGGUCAAGCCAACACCAUCAGCAGUGCUGCCCAUGCAUUAUCUCUGUGGCUGGGGGCCUGGAGACACUUGGAUUCCUUAACAAUAGCAUAAUCCUAAUGGACACUGGGUUAGUGUCCCUUCCCCACAGCUGCUGACCCCCACUUGGGGGUUCCCAUAAGGCCUCACCCUUUCCUCUGUCAUCUGUGAUUCUGAGCCUGCCCGGAACCCCAGUGCCCUCACCAGCCUCUUUCCUGCGCUGGUGAUGCGCUAUCAUGUACUUGGCUGCACAAGCUCGCACAGAGGAUGGGGGGCUGCUCCUUUCCUGGGAUCCCGACUCUCUCAGGCCCAUGCAGUCCAUGAGAGAAGCCUCCUUCUAGAAAGUGCUAUCAGCCCCCAUGUUAAGUGAUCAGAUGUGCACAGGGAGCAGAUCCCAUGGAAGGGAGCGGGCAGGGGAGGCGUGGCCUGUGGGCAGGGGUCUGAAAGCAAAGUCCCCAGCCACGUGGUGGGCUGACUGCCCAGGUGUCAAGGCCGCGGAAGAAGGGCCGGGCCACAGGCAGACCAGGCCGGGGGUGUGUGUGUUGGCGGGAGUCCGCUGCUGCCAGCAUCACACUUGCCGUUGAAGGCAUGGAUGGAAUCAGGUAGGAACGUGAGAGCCUCAUUAUGCUUCCAGGCUACUCCCCCCUAGUUUUCUCCUCGUAAGGGCUGGAGCUUGCCUCUGCGCUCAGAACCUCUCCCCUUCCCACUUCCUGGAGAAGUCUGUCCUGCUGCUUCCAUGUGUGGCCUCGCUAACGUGCACACUCCUUAGGAGGCUAGGAAUCCUAGGAAAAUGCCUUCCACAUACUCCAACUUCCCCCUAGUGGGAGACAGAGGGGGGCCCCGAGAACAAGGAGGUGCCUCUUCCACACCUGAAGAGCAAACCUGGAUUCCUCGGCUUUUUCUGAGCCUUUGUUCACCCCUCUGGCUGGACAGUCCCCCGCCAAGCCGUCCCAUUCACCAUGAUUUACGUGUCUUCCUCGGAUAAGGCCAAGGGUUCAGUCUUGGCAAGGUACGGGGUUGGGGGACAGGGCGGGGGGUCUCUGGGAUGACAAGAUGUUCCCAUUAAUUCCCCAGGAAGUCAUCCUGUCAUGCAGUUGGGAGACAAGGCUUCCAUUCCAUUCCUUAUAAAGGCAUGCAUGUAUUGUUUUAAAUAGAUGCUAAAUGAAACUAGUCUUUAUGUUUUUCCCCUUGACCCACAAUCCCAUCAGUCCAUAAAUAAAAUAAUAACUUCAAAGCUCACAGAGCACUUAGCAGGGUGGUCUGGGAAGAGAAUUUGCAGGCUAUGUGAUGGCCUCUGGCACCACACUCUUCUCUGGAAAGUCAUACUGGCAUCACAGCUGCACUCUGCCAAGGCCCUCUCUCCCCCGCCCCCCAAAAAGGUGAUCCCAGCUGUGCUUGGUACCCCCAUCCCCCCAGUGCUGCUAAGUAGGAAGGGCUGGAAGUCAGCCUCCCGUUGUGGAAGGAACAGGGCCUCUGGAGUCGCCCAGAUCCACGUCAUUGCCUUCUGAUCUUGGGAACUUAUGUAACUUCUCUAAGCUUCUAUUUUCUUAUCAGAAAAAAAGGGAGAUAACAGUACCUACCUAAUAGCACUACUAAGAUAAAGGACGAGUUAUAAAGCAAAUGCUGGAAAAAAAAUAAUAACUACUAUGAUUACAUUUUUAGUAUUUCCUCAAUCAAUCAUUACUGUCUCUGGUUACAUUAUUGAAGGUAAACACUGCUCACUAGAGGGUUCAGGCAAUGGAAGAUUCAGCUCACAUAAAUUUUCUGCCUGAAUCAAGUCUUUCAGAAGUACCCAUUUUCAUUUCAGGCCGAUAUGCAGAAAAUAAUUCUAGAUCAUGUUAGAAUCUAGUCUAGCUCUAGAGAAUAAUAGCUGGGCACUUGGGUCACGUAGUGUCCGUCUUCCAUCAUUCUGGUCAGCAGUUCUCAUUGUGCAGCUGGGUUUUCAUCGGAUAGGAGCUGAAGGAGGUUGAGUUGCAGGCAUACUGGGCUGUCAAAACAACAACAAAAACAAAGCCCUACAAAGUAAGCAUGCCUUGUUGUGGAUUCCUCCUUCUUCCUAAAGGAAGGACUAGGGGAAAGCACGGAAUAAAGAUAGCCGGUCUUGUAGGCCGGCGGAGAUUCUCACUGUCUGUGGCUCCAGUGGAUUGAAGUAAAGAGGUCAUGAGAUGGGGAUGCUCUUCAGCAUAGCUCUUCUCAGAUGUUUGGCCUGAAGAGACACAGGCUCCUUAGUAGGGAAAGAGGCCUUUGCUGACUGUAUCUAAACUUUACUAGAUGAACAGAAGAGACCAUAUUUUAACCUAUGGGUAUAGCUAUAAAUCCUUCCUUUCCUGUCUCUCCUAAUGCAGAGAUGACAUAAAAUCUCUCUCCCUCACUCCCCUCUUAAUUGGGUAUAAAUUGAUAUAACACAUUAAGUACUAAAAAUGAAGUGCUUAGUUGGGUAAAUAACAUAAACUGAUCACAUUUACUGGUCAUGCACUACUCUACAAAGCAUUUUCACAAAUAUUAUUUAUCUUCACCUGCACAAUAGCUCUAUAGAACUGAUUUAUUUUACAGUAUAUUUUACAGGUAAGGAAAUGGAAGUUUAAGAAUGUGAGGCCACUUGUGCAAAGUCACACAGCUUAGAAGAAGCAGAGCUCAGAGUAGAAUCCAGGUCCUCCAAAUUCAAAGCUUGUACUCUUUAAAAAAAAAAAAAAAAAAAA